GGAGGUACUCGAGUCCAGAAAUCUUUGUUGAAAAACUCCAGACUAAGGGACUGCAAAAAGGGUGACGGCGGACAAGGACGCUUUUAACAUUUUGAAGUUCUCUACAUCCAUACCUUACAGCCUGAUUUGUGCGUUUUUCUAGAUACUUUGCGGGGGUUAUAGUGAACUUUAUCCGAAGACGACUGAACUGCCUCGACUUGGAACGUUGUCUUGGAUAAUUGAAAUUGUCCAAGACGGACAGUGGGAAAAAUCCAGCGAGGAGACUGAUAUCGCAGCGUGAUACUGGCGGUUGUCUGUUCUUGCAAACACCACCGUAAACGAUCUAUUACGAAAUAUCGGGCUGCCAGUACUGCGAAAGCAGAGAGUUUGUUGGUCGUCCCAGACCAGCAUAACUUGCCGUUUUCACGCAGUUAACUUUUUACCUUUUCGUGGAUGCGGUGAAGCGGGGUCUCUGGCUCAGCUCACAGGACCAUUCCCAUGGAGAUGAUAGGAUCACUUCCUGUCUCAGGCCAGGUCAUGGAGCUUAUGCUGGACCGGGAGUCCUGUCUGCUCCUCCCCCUUCUUCUCAGACCAGAGCAAGCAGGCCCAUUGCCCUAGCGACUCCACACAGACACAGCGUGUACACAUGCUGCUCCAGAGCCAGUACUGUUCUUCCUUCCGAAAAGUAUGCCUCUCAACUUUGUUCAUUUACACAAUGUCCUUUGUUCACAUUUGCUUAUAAAUGUUCUAAACUCACCAAAAAUGAUAUUUGGUAGCUCCUACCUAUAUAUGUAUAACUUUGAGUUGGAUUGCCUCUGCGCUCGUUAACAUAUUUAGCUAGCAGCCUCAAUGGAAAUUCGCUAUUACUUGCGCUAAUUUUGUUAGCAUUCUGGUAAUGGACACCGAAUGGGCUUUUUUUCGCAUUUUUUGGCCUGUAAUACCAUAAAUCCUGGGAUGAGAUGACAGUAUGACGAAAAUGUGGAUACCGCCCAACCCUAGUGGAAACCCUCAAUGGCGCUGCCCAUGCUAAAAUGUUUUUGGCCACUAGAGUCCUCUAUCAUUCUCUGCUUGCAGAUGACACAUUGCGUCGGAAGUACCAUAGAAUUACUGCCUUUAUAUAUUAUCCACAAUGACUAUAGGCCUGAUUCCACAUUGAACACUGCUUCUCUUCCCUUGAUGACUCACUCUUGCAGGUCUUAAAAGACUGCAGAGGUGUUGGCAUGGUGAUGGUUCCAGCUAUUCAAAUAUGGGAACAAGUGAGAGUUUCUGUGUUAGUGUUUGCUUUUAAUAACAGUAAAAAUAUGUAAUUUGUUUGAUCUAACAAUUGUUUUCUAUAGGUGCAGAUUGCAAGUGUUCAAUGUAUUUUGAAUAUGAUGAAUAAAGGCUAUUCUUCACCACAA